GACGAACGCUGGCGGCGUGCUUAACACAUGCAAGUCGAACGGUGAAGCGCCUUCCUUUUUGGUGGGUGUGGAUGAGUGGCGAACGGGUGAGUAACACGUGAGUAACCUGCCCCCUUCUUCUGGAUAACCGCAUGAAAGUGUGGCUAAUACGGGAUAUUCUGGGUCUGUCGCAUGAUGGGUCUGGGAAAGAUAUUGUUUCGGUGGGGGAUGGGCUCGCGGCCUAUCAGCUUGUUGGUGGGGUGAUGGCCUACCAAGGCGGUGACGGGUAGCCGGCCUGAGAGGGUGGACGGUCACACUGGGAAUGAGACACGGACAAGACUGCGACGGGAGGCAGCAGUGGGGAAUAUUGCACAAUGGGAGAAAGCCUGAUGCAGCGACGCCGCGUGAGGGAUGGAGGCCUUCGGGUUGUGAACCUCUUUCGCCAGUGAAGCAGGCCUGCCUCGUUUGUGGGUGGGUUGACGGUAGCUGGAUAAGAAGCGACGGCUAACUACGUG
rnacentral:rRNA from 1 species